GCCGGGCACAGUGGCACAUGCCUGUAAUCCCAGCCACUCAGGAGGCUGAGGCAGGAAGAUUGCAAGUUCAAAGCCAGCCUGAGCAACUUAGCAAGGCCCUGAGCAACUUGGCAAGACCCUGUCUCAA
rnacentral:sRNA from 1 species